AGAAAAUAAUUAGUGAUAAGUUCCACAAAAAAAUUUUUUAACCACAUUUCUGCUCAGCUCUUUCUUUGCAGAUAACCGGAACAACCCUUUUGCGAAAUUACCUUAAUAUUUCAAAUUAAAUUAGUAAUCGAUGUGUUCUGUAAUGAUAUAAAUAAAUAAUUCCACAAUGAUGGUGUAUCAGUUAUCAAAACUUAUGGCUGAACAUUUUUAAUAAAAAAGUUCCAAAUUUAAUAGCCUUUCACAUAGAGAUGUCGCCGGUACCGUGUUGGUGUGUUGGUAUUACUGACUGUAAAAUCGUCCAUCUUUGGUAAUUUCACUAUAGAAUCGUUCAUUUGAUUUUGUCGUUUCCAAGAGUAAAGAUGUUUCAACAUUCUCGGCUCGAAAAUAAAUUGAAAAAUAAAAAUGUACAAAACCACGUUUGCAUGAGCUAACUGACCGCUAAGAAAAUGCGGCUUUUAAGGAUUUAUUCAUCAUUAACCUAUGAAAAAUGUGGGUUGUAAAAAGCUUUAAAGAAAGGUUUGUUCUUACAAAAAAAAACAUUUGUAUUGACGUUAGCCUACUGAUUGCUGAGAAAACCCGAAUUUAAAGGAUUUAUUUAAGCUUGGAAAUAUGUGGAUAUGAGGAGCAUCAAUGGGAGGUUUGCUCCGACCACGUGGUUGCCUUUUAACCGGGAUCUCAACUGAAAUGCAAGGAGCAUAUGCAGUUGUAGGUUACGGCAACGUGCGAAUUAUAUGGGUACCGGCCUCAAAAUUAUUUUGUUAAAAUCUACCUCGUGUAUGGUUCAAUAUUAAUAAAGAAAAUGUAUAUUAAAGAAUGUGUUUUAUUUGAGGCGAUAUUAUCGUAUGUGUUUUUGUUAGGACAUUCACGUUUUCAAAUGUUAGUUGUGUUCGAGGAGAGUAAAACGCUUCUUUCGCAAAGUUGGAAAAUU